rnacentral:rRNA from 1 species
GACAGAGGGGGCAAGCGUUGCUCGGAAUUACUGGGCGUAAAGGGCGCGUAGGCGGGAUGGCAAGUCGGUCGUGAAAUCCCUCGGCUCAACCGAGGAACGUCGAUCGAUACUGCUGUUCUUGAGGAUUGCAGAGGAGACUGGAAUUCCCGGUGUAGCGGUGAAAUGUGUAGAGAUCGGGCGGAACACCGGUGGCGAAGGCGGGUCUCUGGGCAAUUCCUGACGCUGAGGCGCGAAAGCGUGGGGAGCAAACGGG